UACGAAGGGGGCUAGCGUUGUUCGGAUUUACUGGGCGUAAAGCGCACGUAGGCGGAUCGAUCAGUCAGGGGUGAAAUCCCAGAGCUCAACUCUGGAACUGCCUUUGAUACUGUCGAUCUGGAGUAUGGAAGAGGUGAGUGGAAUUCCGAGUGUAGAGGUGAAAUUCGUAGAUAUUCGGAAGAACACCAGUGGCGAAGGCGGCUCACUGGUCCGGUACUGACGCUGAGGUGCGAAAGCGUGGGGAGCAAACAGG
rnacentral:rRNA from 1 species